CGAACCGGAUUAGAUACCCGGGUAGUCCUAGGUGUAAACGCUGUGGACUUGGUGUUGGGAGCUCCCAGAGGGCUCUCAGUGCCGUAGCGAAGGUGAUAAGUCCACUGCCUGGGGAGUACGGUCGCAAGGCUGAAACUUAAAGGAAUUGGCGGGGGAACACCGCAACCUGAGGAUUGUGCGGUUUAAUUGGAUUCAACGCCGGAAAACUCACCAGUGCCGACGGACAAAUGAAAGCCAGGUUAACGACUUUGCUGGAUUGUUCGAGAGGUAGUGCAUGGCCGCCGUCAGUUCGUACCGUAAGGCGUUCUGUUAAGUCAGAUAACGAACGAGACCCUCAUCCCUAUUUGCCAAGGUCUCUCCGGAGAUCAAGGGACUAUAGGGAGACCGCUGGCGCGAAGUCAGAGGAAGGCGAGGGCAACGGUAGGUCAGUAUGCUCCGAAUGCACUGGGCUACACGCGCAAUACAAAGGACGGGACAAUGGGCUGCUGCUCCGAGAGGAAUGAUGGCUAUCCCGAAACCCGUUCGUAGUUCGGAUCGAGGGCUGUAACUCGCCCUCGUGAAGCUGGAUUAGGUAGUAAUCGCGUCUCAAAAAGGCGCGGUGAAU
rnacentral:rRNA from 1 species